GGCGUCGGGGGAUUAUGCGAUUGUUAUCAGUCAUAAUCCAGAUAACGGCACAUCCAGGAUCAAGCUUCCAUCUGGUGCGAAGAAGAUUGUACCAAGUGGAUGCAGGGCGAUGAUUGGACAGGUUGCUGGUGGCGGCAGGACUGAGAAGCCUCUUCUGAAGGCUGGAAAUGCCUAUCACAAGUACCGUGUGAAGAGGAACUGC
rnacentral:misc_RNA from 1 species